rnacentral:lncRNA from 1 species
UUAAGGAGGCGUAGGUUUUACUUACUGAGCUAGUAUAGCUCAUAUAUUUUUAUCAUUUUUUUUUUUACAGAAAAAUAAGGUUAGGAAUGACGAAUGAUCCAGGCUUGGGAAUCUGUAUUGCAAACUUAAAAAUUUUAUAACUGAACUUAGUCUAUUGAAUGACCAUGGAUUUGUGUCAAUUAUUUAUGAAUUAUAAGAUAUGAGUUUGACAUUUGGUUUUGAACUAAAUUAGAUAUUUUGAAUUAGUAUUGAUUUAAUUAUUUAAUAAAUAAUAAAAUUAAAUCUUUUAUUAUAUUUUAUUUAUGAUGAAUUUUAAUUGAUUAUAAUUGAUUGGC